AUUGAACGCUGGCGGCAGGCCUAACACAUGCAAGUCGAACGGUAACAGGAAGCAGCUUGCUUCUUUGCUGACGAGUGGCGGACGGGUGAGUAUUGUCUGGGAAACUGCCUGAUGGAGGGGGAUAACUACUGGAAACGGUAGCUAAUACCGCAUAACGUCGCAUGACCAUUGAGGGGGACCUUCGGGCCUCUUGCCAUCGGAUGUGCACAGACGGGAUUAGCUUGUUGGUGGGGUAACGGCUCACCAGGGCGACGAUCCCUAGCUGGUCUGAGAGGAUGACCACCCACACUGGAACUGAGACACGGUCCAGACUCCUACGGGAGGCAGCAGUGGGGAAUAUUGCACAAUGGGCGCAAGCCUGAUGCAGACAUGCCGCGUGUAUGAGGAAGGCCUCCGGGUUGUAAAGUACUUUCAGCGGGGAGGAAGGGAGUAAAGGUAAUACCUUUGCUCAUUGACGUUACCCGAAGAAGAAGCACCGGCUAACUCCGUG
rnacentral:rRNA from 1 species